rnacentral:rRNA from 1 species
ACGGAAAGACCCCGUGAACCUUUACUAUAGCUUGACACUGAACAUUGAGCCUUGAUGUGUAGGAUAGGUGGGAGGCUUUGAAGUGUGGACGCCAGUCUGCGUGGAGCCGACCUUGAAAUACCACCCUUUAAUGUUUGAUGUUCUAACGUGGACCCGUUACCCGGGUUGCGGACAGUGUCUGGUGGGUAGUUUGACUGGGGCGGUCUCCUCCUAAAGAGUAACGGAGGAGCACGAAGGUUGGCUAAUCCUGGUCGGACAUCAGGAGGUUAGUGCAAUGGCAUAAGCCAGCUUGACUGCGAGCGUGACGGCGCGAGCAGGUGCGAAAGCAGGUCAUAGUGAUCCGGUGGUUCUGAAUGGAAGGGCCAUCGCUCAACGGAUAAAAGGUACUCCGGGGAUAACAGGCUGAUACCGCCCAAGAGUUCAUAUCGACGGCGGUGUUUGGCACCUCGAUGUCGGCUCAUCACAUCCUGGGGCUGAAGUAGGUCCCAAGGGUAUGGCUGUUCGCCAUUUAAAGUGGUACGCGAGCUGGGUUUAGAACGUCGUGAGACAGUUCGGUCCCUAUCUGCCGUGGGCGCUGGAGAACUGAGGGGGGCUGCUCCUAGUACGAGAGGACCGGAGUGGACGCAUCACUGGUGUUCGGGUUGUCAUGCCAAUGGCACUGCCCGGUAGCUAAAUGCGGAAGAGAUAAGUGCUGAAAGCAUCUAAGCACGAAACUUGCCCCGA